AACGAACGCUGGCGGCAUGCCUAACACAUGCAAGUCGAACGAGACCUUCGGGUCUAGUGGCGCACGGGUGCGUAACGCGUGGGAACCUGCCCUUAGGUUCGGAAUAACUCCCCGAAAGGGGUGCUAAUACCGGAUAAUGUCUUCGGACCAAAGAUUUAUCGCCUUUGGAUGGGCCCGCGUUGGAUUAGCUAGUUGGUAGGGUAAAAGCCUACCAAGGCGACGAUCCAUAGCUGGUCUGAGAGGAUGAUCAGCCACACUGGGACUGAGACACGGCCCAGACUCCUACGGGAGGCAGGAGUGGGGAAUAUUGGACAAUGGGCGAAAGCCUGAUCCAGCAAUGCCGCGUGAGUGAUGAAGGCCUUAGGGUUGUAAAGCUCUUUUACCCGGGAUGAUAAUGACAGUACCGGAGAAUAAGCUCCGGCUAACUCCGUG
rnacentral:rRNA from 1 species